GACGAACUUUGGCGGCGUGCUUAACACAUGCAAGUCGAACGGAAAGGCCCUGCUUUUGUGGGGUGCUCGAGUGGCGAACGGGUGAGUAACACGUGAGUAACCUGCCCUUGACUUUGGGAUAACUUCAGGAAACUGGGGCUAAUACCGGAUAGGAGCUCCUGCUGCAUGGUGGGGGUUGGAAAGUUUCGGCGGUUGGGGAUGGACUCGCGGCUUAUCAGCUUGUUGGUGGGGUAGUGGCUUACCAAGGCUUUGACGGGUAGCCGGCCUGAGAGGGUGACCGGCCACAUUGGGACUGAGAUACGGCCCAGACUCCUACGGGAGGCAGCAGUGGGGAAUAUUGCACAAUGGGCGGAAGCCUGAUGCAGCAACGCCGCGUGCGGGGUGACGGCCUUCGGGUUGUAAACCGCUUUCGCCUGUGACGAAGCGUGAGUGACGGUAAUGGGUAAAGAAGCACCGGCUAACUACGUGCCAGCAGCCGCGGUGAUACGUAGGGUGCGAGCGUUGUCCGGAUUUAUUGGGCGUAAAGGGCUCGUAGGUGGUUGAUCGCGUCGGAAGUGUAAUCUUGGGGCUUAACCCUGAGCGUGCUUUCGAUACGGGUUGACUUGAGGAAGGUAGGGGAGAAUGGAAUUCCUGGUGGAGCGGUGGAAUGCGCAGAUAUCAGGAGGAACACCAGUGGCGAAGGCGGUUCUCUGGGCCUUUCCUGACGCUGAGGAGCGAAAGCGUGGGGAGCGAACAGGCUUAGAUACCCUGGUAGUCCACGCUGUAAACGGUGGGUACUAGGUGUGGGGUCCAUUCCACGGGUUCCGUGCCGUAGCUAACGCUUUAAGUACCCCGCCUGGGGAGUACGGCCGCAAGGCUAAAACUCAAAGGAAUUGACGGGGCCCCGCACAAGCGGCGGAGCAUGCGGAUUAAUUCGAUGCAACGCGUAGAACCUUACCUGGGUCUGACAUGGAUCGGGAGUGCUCAGAGAUGGGUGUGCCUCUUUUGGGGUCGGUUCACAGGUGGUGCAUGCCUGUCGUCAGCUCGUGUCGUGAGAUGUUGGGUUAAGUCCCGCAACGAGCGCAACCCUUGUUCACUGUUGCCAGCACGUUAUGGUGGGGACUCAGUGGAGACCGCCGGGGUCAACUCGGAGGAAGGUGGGGAUGACGUCAAGUCAUCAUGCCCCUUAUGUCCAGGGCUUCACGCAUGCUACAAUGGCUGGUACAGAGAGUGGCGAGCCUGUGAGGGUGAGCGAAUCUCGGAAAGCCGGUCUCAGUUCGGAUUGGGGUCUGCAACUCGACCUCAUGAAGUCGGAGUCGCUAGUAAUCGCAGAUCAGCAACGCUGCGGUGAAUACGUUCCCGGGGCU
rnacentral:rRNA from 1 species